AGAGUUUGAUCCUGGCUCAGGAUGAACGCUAGCGGCAGGCUUAACACAUGCAAGUCGAGGGGCAGCGCGUUGUAGCAAUACGAUGGCGGCGACCGGCGAAAGGGUGCGUAACGCGUGAGCAACCUGCCCGUAUCCGGGACAUAAGCGGUGGAAACGCCGUCUAAUUUCCCAUAACAACGAGGGCCGCAUGGUCCAUGUUUGAAAGAUGCGUCGGAUACGGAUGGGCUCGCGAGACAUUAGCUAGUCGGCGUGGUAACGGCACACCGAGGCGACGAUGUCUAGGGGUUCUGAGAGGAAGGUCCCCCACACUGGAACUGAGACACGGCCCAAACUCCUACGGGAGGCAGCAGUGGGGAAUAUUGCACAAUGGGGGGAACCCUGAUGCAGCGACGCCGCGUGGGUGAGGAAGUAUUUCGGUAUGUAAAGCCCUAUCAGCAGGGAAGAAAAAGACGGUACCUGACUAAGAAGCACCGGCUAAAUACGUGCC
rnacentral:rRNA from 1 species